GUCGGAGUGCUUAUUUUCCAUGUGAAGGCUACAUGGAAAAGGCUGAGACCGUUAAUUCGGGAUCCGCGGAACCUGAUCAGGCUAAUACCUGCGAAGGGAACAAGAGUAAA
rnacentral:ncRNA from 1 species